CAGACUGAAAUUCCAUUUGCAUGGGUAGUGUCAGGGACGUGUUGGGAAUAGCUAUGUUUUGUGACAUUGAACUCUUAUACGAACUGAUGGUUGAUUUCAAACAAUCACAAACAUAUGGGAUUUUUCACUACCAUCGGAUAUCAUUAUGUGUUUUAUUCAUGGACUAUGAAAGGGAGAUGGAACUUUUUGAUCAGCUAGAUAAAUCUGUGUAUUUUUAUCUAGCGGAACAGCAGCAACAACA